UGAUUUAAUCAUACCAGCACUAAUGCACCGGACCCCAUCAGAACUCCGCAGUUAAGCGUGCUUGGGCAAGAGUAGUACUAGGAUGGAUGACCUCCUGGAAAGUCCUCGUGUUGCACCCC
rnacentral:rRNA from 1 species